GACGAACGCUGGCGGCGUGCUUAACACAUGCAAGUCGAACGGUAAGGCCCUUCGGGGUACACGAGUGGCGAACGGGUGAGUAACACGUGGGUGAUCUGCCCUGCACUUCGGGAUAAGCCUGGGAAACUGGGUCUAAUACCGGAUAGGACUCCGGACUGCAUGGUCUGGGGUGGAAAGCUUUUGCGGUGUGGGAUGAGCCCGCGGCCUAUCAGCUUGUUGGUGGGGUGAUGGCCUACCAAGGCGGCGACGGGUAGCCGGCCUGAGAGGGUGACCGGCCACACUGGGACUGAGAUACGGCCCAGACUCCUACGGGAGGCAGCAGUGGGGAAUAUUGCACAAUGGGCGCAAGCCUGAUGCAGCGACGCCGCGUGAGGGAUGACGGCCUUCGGGUUGUAAACCUCUUUCAGCAUCGACGAAGCGAAAGUGACGGUAGGUGCAGAAGAAGGACCGGCCAACUACGUGCCAGCCGCCGCAGUAA
rnacentral:rRNA from 1 species